UAGUGGCGAACGGGUGAGUAACACGUGGGCAAUCUGCCCUUCACUCUGGGACAAGCCCUGGAAACGGGGUCUAAUACCGGAUAUGAGCCUGGGAGGCAUCUCCUGGGUUGUAAAGCUCCGGCGGUGAAGGAUGAGCCCGCGGCCUAUCAGCUUGUUGGUGAGGUAAUGGCUCACCAAGGCGACGACGGGUAGCCGGCCUGAGAGGGCGACCGGCCACACUGGGACUGAGACACGGCCCAGACUCCUACGGGAGGCAGCAGUGGGGAAUAUUGCACAAUGGGCGGAAGCCUGAUGCAGCGACGCCGCGUGAGGGAUGACGGCCUUCGGGUUGUAAACCUCUUUCAGCAGGGAAGAAGCGUGAGUGACGGUACCUGCAGAAGAAGCGCCGGCUAACUACGUGCCAGCAGCCGCGGUAAUACGUAGGGCGCAAGCGUUGUCCGGAAUUAUUGGGCGUAAAGAGCUCGUAGGCGGCUUGUCGCGUCGAUUGUGAAAGCCCGGGGCUUAACUCCGGGUCUGCAGUCGAUACGGGCUAGCUAGAGUGUGGUAGGGGAGAUCGGAAUUCCU
rnacentral:rRNA from 1 species